AUUGCCUACGGUGAGAUAGUAGAGAAAAUUUAACAGUGGAAAGGGGUGAGUGAUAAGAUCGAAUAUUGUGACAGAGAUUUCUGAGACAAUGUCCUCAAGGAGACCUCCAAGAAGGUCAGCACAUGUUUAAAGAAAUGUCUGUGGCCAAGAGAAAGAACAAAAAAUGGUUUACAGGCUUCCUCUAUAUCAGAGAGGGCUCCUGUAAGAUCCUCCACGAUGUUCCAUUCAUCUUUCCCUUCUAUAAACAAAAGUAGGUGUCUUCCUUAUUCAAUUUCAAAAAGACAUUCAUCCUUUCAGUUCCUCACUCUGGCCAUGGACAUUUCCACGUGAAAAUACACAUAGUGCAUCUUGCAGUCACUAGAUGCAAAGCCAUGGACAGAAAUGAGGCCAGGUGCAGACGGGGCCAAUUGAAAAGAUGAAAGAAGAAAAGAAUGACAGGCAACAUUGAUUGAGUGAAAGGAUGAGAAGCUGCAGUCAGUCAGGAGGUGAUUCUGACUAAGGAAGUACAGGAAGGAUUAAAUUACUUCUGAUGGAGAGAGAAUUCAGUUUCUCAGAGAGAAGACAGGACAUCAUUCAUCACUUUUGUGAUGAGUGUUCAUCUCUGACUUCUCACUGGGCCAAGGGCCCGCAGAUACCACCAUGCUGACGUUUGUGGCAGAAGAGCUGGAGCCAGGGACUGGGGAGAAAAAACCCAAACACAUGAUGGGUUAAUAACUGGUGAAAUCAAAUAGGUUGAAUCAGCACUGAGGGAUGUCACUGACAGCCUUGUCCACUGAUUUGAAGAUGCUGUUUCCCUGCUUUCACUCUUCUCAUCUCCACUCUUGAUCUCCUUUAAGUCAACUUGUCUGAGCUACGCAGUCACCUUGAAACCAGGACACAAACACUUCCAUCCUUUUC